rnacentral:rRNA from 1 species
UUCCUACGGGAGGCAGCAGUGGGGAAUUUUGGACAAUGGGCGAAAGCCUGAUCCAGCAAUGCCGCGUGUGUGAAGAAGGCCUUCGGGUUGUAAARCACUUUUGUCCGGAAAGAAAUCCUUUGGGUUAAUACCUCGGGGGGAUGACGGUACCGGAAGAAUAAGCACCGGCUAACUACGUGCCAGCAGCCGCGGUAAUACGUAGGGUGCAAGCGUUAAUCGRAAUUACUGGGCGUAAAGCGUGCGCAGGCGGUUUUGUAAGACGGAUGUGAAAUCCCCGGGCUUAACCUGGGAACUGCAUUCGUGACUGCAAGGCUAGAGUAUGGCAGAGGGGGGUAGAAUUCCACGUGUAGCAGUGAAAUGCGUAGAGAUGUGGAGGAAUACCGAUGGCGAAGGCAGCCCCCUGGGCCAAUACUGACGCUCAUGCACGAARGCGUGGGGAGCAAACAGGAUUAGAUACCCUGGUAGUCC